rnacentral:rRNA from 1 species
UCGAGUGGCGAACGGGUGAGUAACACGUGGGUGAUCUGCCCUGCACUUUGGGAUAAGCCUGGGAAACUGGGUCUAAUACCGAAUAUGACCGCGCUCUUCAUGGGGUGUGGUGGAAAGCUUUUGCGGUGUGGGAUGGGCCCGCGGCCUAUCAGCUUGUUGGUGGGGUAAUGGCCUACCAAGGCGACGACGGGUAGCCGGCCUGAGAGGGUGACCGGCCACACUGGGACUGAGAUACGGCCCAGACUCCUACGGGAGGCAGCAGUGGGGAAUAUUGCACAAUGGGCGCAAGCCUGAUGCAGCGACGCCGCGUGAGGGAUGACGGCCUUCGGGUUGUAAACCUCUUUCAAUAGGGACGAAGCGCAAGUGACGGUACCUAUAGAAGAAGGACCGGCCAACUACGUGCCAGCAGCCGCGGUAAUACGUAGGGUCCGAGCGUUGUCCGGAAUUACUGGGCGUAAAGAGCUCGUAGGUGGUUUGUCGCGUUGUUCGUGAAAACUCACAGCUUAACUGUGGGCGUGCGGGCGAUACGGGCAGACUAGAGUACUGCAGGGGAGACUGGAAUUCCUGGUGUAGCGGUGGAAUGCGCAGAUAUCAGGAGGAACACCGGUGGCGAAGGCGGGUCUCUGGGCAGUAACUGACGCUGAGGAGCGAAAGCGUGGGGAGCGAACAGGAUUAGAUACCCUGGUAGUCCACGCCGUAAACGGUGGGUACUAGGUGUGGGUUUCCUUCCUUGGGAUCCGUGCCGUAGCUAACGCAUUAAGUACCCCGCCUGGGGAGUACGGCCGCAAGGCUAAAACUCAAAGGAAUUGACGGGGGCCCGCACAAGCGGCGGAGCAUGUGGAUUAAUUCGAUGCAACGCGAAGAACCUUACCUGGGUUUGACAUGCACAGGACGCCAGUAGAGAUAUUGGUUCCCUUGUGGCCUGUGUGCAGGUGGUGCAUGGCUGUCGUCAGCUCGUGUCGUGAGAUGUUGGGUUAAGUCCCGCAACGAGCGCAACCCUUGUCUCAUGUUGCCAGCACGUAAUGGUGGGGACUCGUGAGAGACUGCCGGGGUCAACUCGGAGGAAGGUGGGGAUGACGUCAAGUCAUCAUGCCCCUUAUGUCCAGGGCUUCACACAUGCUACAAUGGCCGGUACAAAGGGCUGCGAUGCCGUGAGGUGGAGCGAAUCCUUUCAAAGCCGGUCUCAGUUCGGAUCGGGGUCUGCAACUCGACCCCGUGAAGUCGGAGUCGCUAGUAAUCGCAGAUCAGCAACGCUGCGGUGAAUACGUUCCCGGGCCUUGUACACACCGCCCGUCACGUCAUGAAAGUCGGUAACACCCGAAGCCGGUGGCCUAACCC